CAGCAGCCGCGGGAAUACGAAGGGGGCUAGCGUUGUUCGGAAUUACUGGGCGUAAAGCGCACGUAGGCGGAUCGAUCAGUCAGGGGUGAAAUCCCAGGGCUCAACCCUGGAACUGCCUUUGAUACUGUCGAUCUGGAGUAUGGAAGAGGUGAGUGGAAUUCCGAGUGUAGAGGUGAAAUUCGUAGAUAUUCGGAGGAACACCAGUGGCGAAGGCGGCUCACUGGUCCAUUACUGACGCUGAGGUGCGAAAGCGUGGGGAGCAAACAGGAUUAGAUACCCGGGUAGUCCCUGUCUCUUAUAU
rnacentral:rRNA from 1 species